rnacentral:rRNA from 1 species
CAGUAGCCGCGGUAACACGUAGGGUGCAAGCGUUAAUCGGAAUUACUGGGCGUAAAGCGUGCGCAGGCGGUUAUAUAAGACAGAUGUGAAAUCCCCGGGCUCAACCUGGGAACUGCAUUUGUGACUGUAUAGCUAGAGUACGGCAGAGGGGGAUGGAAUUCCGCGUGUAGCAGUGAAAUGCGUAGAUAUGCGGAGGAACACCGAUGGCGAAGGCAAUCCCCUGGGCCUGUAAUGACGCUCAUGCACGAAAGCGUGGGGAGCAAACAGGAUUAGAUACCCGUGUAGUCCCUGUCUCUUAUAC